AUUGAACGCUGGCGGCAUGCCUUACACAUGCAAGUCGAACGGUAACGGGCCUUCGGGUGCCGACGAGUGGCGAACGGGUGGGUAAUACAUCGGAACGUGACCGAUCGUGGGGGAUAACGAGGCGAAAGCUUUGCUAAUACCGCAUACGAUCUACGGAUGAAAGCAGGGGACCGCAAGGCCUUGCGCGGACGGAGCGGCCGAUGGUAGAUGAGGGAGUUGGUGGGAUAAAAGUUUACCAGGCCGACGAUCUGUAGCUGGUCUGUGAGGAUGAUCAGCCACACUGGAACUGAGACACGGCCCAUACUCCUACGGGAGGCAGCAGUGGGGAAUUUUGGGCAAUGGGCGCAAGCCUGAUCCAGCCAUGCCGCGUGCAGGAUGAAGGCCUUCGGGUUGUAAACUGCUUUUGUACGGAACGAAAAGCCUUCUUUUAAUACAGGAGGGUCAUGACGGUACCGUAAGAAUAAGCACCGGCUAACUACGUG
rnacentral:rRNA from 1 species